GAACAGAAAAUAAAGAAGAGUAGAGAGAUGCAACAAUAAGUGAGGGGGAGAAAAAGAUGCAGAAAUCUCUUUCCAAAGAUGGUGAAGACUCUGAACAUAAACUAAACACGUCAACAUCAAUUUCAUUUCAUGAAAGGGUAUGAACCAUUCCAUACACAACAAUCUGUUUAUAAUUUUCCAAACAAUUUCUUCAGCAAAUAAAUGUCAAUAACAUAUAAAUUCAGCCACCGGUUUUCAUGCUCAUAAC
rnacentral:misc_RNA from 1 species